CCUAGGGUUACCUCGGUGGAAGCCAACAAUCUCCUCCAGGUGGAGCAGUUGGACGGUCGACCACUGAAAUCCCUGACGCCCUACACUUCAGUGAAGCCCAAUAGACAAAGACCAUCGACUGUCCGAGCCCCCCAGGAGGUAUCCCAUCUACCAGAACCAGUGAGUUCGGAUCAGUCUGAUUCUCUGUGCUCUGAGUCGGAGGGGGACCAGCUUGAGGACCUAGGGGUUCUGCCCAACACCUUGACCUGGAUCCACCUGAUGUCCUCCAUUACCUGUUCUCCAGGACCUAGGGGUUCUGCCCAACACCCAGACAACCAGUGAUCCGGGUCACGGCACCAAUGUAACAGUAUGGCUUCCGUCCCUCUCCUCGCCCCGAACCAGGGACACUCUGCACACAGACAACAGUCACCCUCGAAGCAUCGUUACCCAUCGCUCCACAAAAUCCGCGGCCCUUGCAGAGCAAGGGGAACAACUACUUCAGGUCUCAGAGCGAGUGACGUCACCGACUGAAACGCUAUUAGCGCGCACCACCGCUAACUAGCUAGCCAUUUCACAUCGGUUACAUAGGCCACUCAAGGACAUUCAGAGACUUGUCCCAAAGCCACUCCAGCAUUGUCUUGGCUGUGU
rnacentral:lncRNA from 1 species